rnacentral:tRNA from 1 species
UAGGUCUAUAACUCAGUUGGUAGAGUAAUUGUCUUACAAACAAUAGGUCAUCGGUUCAAAUCCGAUUAGGCCUAA